rnacentral:lncRNA from 1 species
ACAUGGCACAGUGGUGCACGGACGUGCACAUGGCACGGUGCACGGCACUGCACAGUGCACGGUGGUGCACAUGGCACAGCGGUGCAAGUCACGGAGGUGCACACGGCACGGCGGUGCACGGCGCUGCACAGUGCAUGGUGGUGCAAGGCACGGAGGUGCGCACAAGGUGGUGCACAGCACGGUGGUGCACGGCGCUGCACAGUGCACAGUGGUGCACAUGGCACGGUGGUGCACGGCAUGGUGGUGCAUAUGGCACGGUGGUGCAAGGCACGGUGGUGCACGGCGCUGCACAGUGCAUGGUGGUGCAAGGCACAGAGGUGCACACACGGCAGUGCACAGCACGGUGGUGCACAUGGCACGGUGGUGCACACACGGUGGUGCACAGCACGGUGGUGCACAUGGCACGGUGGUGCAAGGCACGGAGGUGCACAUGGCACGGUGGUGCACGGUGCUGCACAGUGCACGGUGGUGCACAUGGCACGGUGGUGCACACAUGGUGGUGCACAGCACGGAGGUGCACAUGGCACGGUGGUGCACGGCGCUGCACAGUGCACGGUGGUGCAAGGCACGGAGGUGCGCACACGGUGGUGCACAGCACGGUGGUGCACACGGCACGGCGGUGCCCGGAGCGGUGCUGGUGCCUGGCGUGGUGCUGGUGUCCAGUUUGCUGGUGAUGGUGCCACUGCCUGGCACGGUGAUUUCCAGUACGGUGAUGCCUGCUGCACCCGCGGUGCCACGGCCCGGCACGGCGAUGCCCGGUGCAUCGGUGGUACCCAGCACGGUGGUGUCCCUGCCCGGUUCAGCGUCGCGGCGCGCCGGUGCCCGUCACCACAGCGGUGCCCCAGCCCGGCACGGUGACACCCAACACCCCUAGUGCCCGGGACGGUGAUAUCCAGCACGCUGAUGCUGGGCACGGAGUUGCCCGGUGCAACGGUGGUGCGUUGGCAGUUCCCGGCACGGCGGUGCCCAGCGCAUCGGCGGUACCCGGUGCAUCAGCGAUGCCCGGUGCGUCGGCGGUACCCGGUGCAUCGGUGGUGCCUGGCACAGGGAUUUCCAGCACGGUAGUGCCCAGUGCAUCGGUGGUACCUGGUGCAUCGGUGGUACCCGGCACAUUGGUGGUGCCAGGCACGGUGAUUUCCAGCACGGUGAUGCCCAGUGCAUCGGUGGUACCUGGCACAGGGAUUUCCAGCACGGUGGUACCUGGUGCAUCGGUGGUACCUGGUGCAUCGGUGGUGCCAGGCACGGUGAUUUCCAGCACGGUGGUACCUGGUGCAUCGGUGGUACCUGGUGCAUCGGCAGUACCCAGUGCAUCGGUGGUACGUGGUGCCUUGGCGGUACCCGGUGCAUCGGUGGUGCCAGGCACGGUGAUUUCCAGCACGGUGAUGCCCAGUGCAUCGGUGGUACCCAGUGCAUCGGCG